UACACAUGCAAGUCGAACGGCAGCACGGACUUCGGUCUGGUGGCGAGUGGCGAACGGGUGAGUAACAUAUCGGAACGUAUCCAAUAAUGGGGGAUAACUAAUCGAAAGGUUGGCUAAUACCGCAUACGCCCUACGGGGGAAAGCUAGGGACCUUCGGGCCUGGCGUUAAUGGAGCGGCCGAUAUCUGAUUAGCUAGUUGGUGGGGUAAAGGCCCACCAAGGCGACGAUCAGUAGCUGGUCUGAGAGGACGACCAGCCACACUGGAACUGAGACACGGUCCAGACUCCUACGGGAGGCAGCAGUGGGGAAUUUUGGACAAUGGGCGCAAGCCUGAUCCAGCCAUUCCGCGUGAGUGAAGAAGGCCUUCGGGCGUGUAAAGCUCUUUCGCAAGGGAAGAACACUUAGCCACUAACAUUGGCUGAGGUUGACGGUACCUUGAUAAGAAGCACCGGCUAACUACGUGCCAGCAGCCGCGGUAAUACGUAGGGUGCGAGCGUUAAUCGGAAUUACUGGGCGUAAAGCGUGCGCAGGCGGUUUUGUAAGUCAGAUGUGAAAUCCCC
rnacentral:rRNA from 1 species